AUGCAAGACUGAAUGACAGAAAGAUUAAGCUUGGAAUUGAUUGCAAAGCAGUCUUGUGUUAGGAGGACGGUGAUUUGAAGACCUGCAUGUUUCCAAGACCAUGGACAGGUAUGAUUAGUUUGACAUCUGUACUGUAGAUUAAAAAAAGACAACAGUGAAG